GGGAGGGCCGCAGGGAGUGCGCAUGCGGCCGAGUGCGGGACUGGGGCUCCUGGCUGUGGGUGUGGUACCGAGGCUUCAGCGGGUGCCGCCCGCCUAGAGGGAGUGGAGCGAGAGCCUACGACUAGAUUUGCAUCUUUACGUCCUGCGCGGAGGCUGCUACACACAUGCAGAAGUCAUGCUGGUGGCCUGGACAGUGAAGGGAGAGAAGUGGAUUUGGGAGACAUUUAGGAGCAGAAGAAUCCCAGACUUCUUAGAGAACCCAGUGACUUUUUGCACCUUAAAUCUGUGAAAUCCUCAUGUUUUCUUCUGCCGUAUCCAUAGUUCAAACAAAGAUGAGGCAAAGCUAGAUGCAUUCCUGAAGGAACCCAAGAAAUUCCUCUCUUUAUUUCUCUGGAAUGAAAUGAAUUCUCUAGACCACCAGUUCUAACCUUCAAAAACCAAACCUGUUUGUGAGAUCUCCUUCAAAUACUACUGUAGACCCCAGUGUUUAUUCAUUAAAUUUUUAAAAUAUUUGUUUUAUUUGGAAUCCAUGUAUUUGUAAUUUUAGUGUUUGUAUUAAUAUAAGGGAGAAAUGUUUAAAUC
ensembl:lncRNA RPL23AP7 ribosomal protein L23a pseudogene 7